rnacentral:rRNA from 1 species
UGAGGGAAUAUUUGGGGUCAAUGGUCGCGAGACUGAACCAGCCAAGUAGCGUGCAGGACGACGGCCCUCUGGGUUGUAAACUGCUUUUAGUUGGGAAUAAAAGGCGGUACGUGUACCGCGUAUUGUAUGUACCAUCAGAAAAAGGACCGGCUAAUUCCGUGCCAGCAGCCGCGGUAAUACGGAAGGUCCAGGCGUUAUCCGGAUUUAUUGGGUUUAAAGGGUGCGCAGGCGGCGCGCCAAGUCAGCGGUCAAAGUUCCGGGCUCAACCCGGUGUCGCCGUUGAAACUGGCGUGCUCGAGUGCGUGCGAGGAAGGCGGAAUGCGCUGUGUAGCGGUGAAAUGCAUAGAUAUGACGCAGAACUCCGAUUGCGAAGGCAGCUUUCCAGCGCGCUACUGACGCUGAGGCACGAAAGCGUGGGGGAUC